rnacentral:rRNA from 1 species
AGUGGCGGACGGGUGAGUAACGCGUGAGAAUCUGCCUUGGGGUCGGGGACAACCACUGGAAACGGUGGCUAAUACCUGAUAAGCCGAUUGGUGAAAGAUUUAUUGCCCGAAGAGGAGCUCGCGUCUGAUUAGCUAGUUGGUGAGGUAAGAGCUCACCAAGGCAGCGAUCAGUAGCUGGUCUGAGAGGACGAUCAGCCACACUGGGACUGAGACACGGCCCAGACUCCUACGGGAGGCAGCAGUGGGGAAUUUUCCGCAAUGGGCGAAAGCCUGACGGAGCAAGACCGCGUGAGGGAGGAAGGCUCUUGGGUUGUAAACCUCUUUUCUCAGGGAAGAAGCUCUGACGGUACCUGAGGAAUCAGCCUCGGCUAACUCCGUGCCAGCAGCCGCGGUAAUACGGAGGAGGCAAGCGUUAUCCGGAAUUAUUGGGCGUAAAGCGUCCGCAGGUGGCGAUUCAAGUCUGCUGUCAAAGCACGGGGCUUAACUCCGUAAAGGCAGUGGAAACUGAAUAGCUAGAGUGCCGUAGGGGUAGAGGGAAUUCCCGGUGUAGCGGUGAAAUGCGUAGAGAUCGGGAAGAACAUCGGUGGCGAAAGCGCUCUACUGGACGGCAACUGACACUCAGGGACGAAAGCUAGGGGAGCGAAUGGGAUUAGAUACCCC